rnacentral:rRNA from 1 species
AGUGAACGCUGGCGGUAGGCCUAACACAUGCAAGUCGAACGGCAGCACAGUAAGAGCUUGCUCUUACGGGUGGCGAGUGGCGGACGGGUGAGGAAUACAUCGGAAUCUACUUUUUCGUGGGGGAUAACGUAGGGAAACUUACGCUAAUACCGCAUACGACCUACGGGUGAAAGCAGGGGAUCUUCGGACCUUGCGCGAUUGAAUGAGCCGAUGUCGGAUUAGCUAGUUGGCGGGGUAAAGGCCCACCAAGGCGACGAUCCGUAGCUGGUCUGAGAGGAUGAUCAGCGACACUGGAGCUGAGACACGGUCCAGACUCCUACGGGAGGGAGCAGUGGGGAAUAUUGGACAAUGGGCGCAAGCCUGAUCCAGCCAUACCGCGUGGGUGAAGAAGGCCUUCGGGUUGUAAAGCCCUUUUGUUGGGAAAGAAAAGCAGCAGGUUAAUACCCCGCUGUUCUGACGGUACCCAAAGAAUAAGCACCGGCUAACUUCGUG